AUUGAACGCUGGCGGCAUGCUUUACACAUGCAAGUCGAACGGUAACAGGCCGCAAGGUGCUGACGAGUGGCGAACGGGUGAGUAAUGCAUCGGAACGUGCCCAGUCGUGGGGGAUAACGCAGCGAAAGCUGUGCUAAUACCGCAUACGAUCUAUGGAUGAAAGCGGGGGACCGUAAGGCCUCGCGCGAUUGGAGCGGCCGAUGUCAGAUUAGGUAGUUGGUGGGGUAAAGGCUCACCAAGCCAACGAUCUGUAGCUGGUCUGAGAGGACGACCAGCCACACUGGGACUGAGACACGGCCCAGACUCCUACGGGAGGCAGCAGGGGGGAAUUUUGGACAAUGGGCGAAAGCCUGAUCCAGCAAUGCCGCGUGCAGGAAGAAGGCCUUCGGGUUGUAAACUGCUUUUGUACGGAGCGAAAAGGUCUCCUCUAAUACAGGGGGCUCAUGACGGUACCGUAAGAAUAAGCACCGGCUAACUACGUGCCAGCAGCCGCCGUAA
rnacentral:rRNA from 1 species